rnacentral:rRNA from 1 species
UGAGUAACCUGCCCUCCACUCUGGGAUAAGCCCGGGAAACUGGGUCUAAUACCGGAUAUGACCUCCUGUCUCAUGGCGGGUGGUGGAAAGUUUUUUCGGUGGGGGAUGGACUCGCGGCCUAUCAGCUUGUUGGUGGGGUAAUGGCCCACCAAGGCGACGACGGGUAGCCGGCCUGAGAGGGCGACCGGCCACACUGGGGACUGAGACACGGCCCAGACUCCUACGGGAGGCAG